AUUGAACGCUGGCGGCAGGCCUAACACAUGCAAGUCGAGCGAGCGGCGGACGGGUGAGUAAUGUCUGGGAAACUGCCUGAUGGAGGGGGAUAACUGCUGGAAACGGUAGCUAAUACCGCAUCCCAUCAGAUGUGCCCAGAUGGGAUUAGCUAGUAGGUGGGGUAAUGGCUCACCUAGGCGACGAUCCCUAGCUGGUCUGAGAGGAGGACCAGCCACACUGGAACUGAGAUACGGGCCAGACUCCUACGGGAGGCAGCAGUGGGGAAUAGUGCACAAUGGGCGAAAGCCUGAUGCAGCCAUGCCGCGUGUGUGAAGAAGGCCUUCGGGUUGUAAAGCACUUUCAGCGAGGAGGCGUUACUCGCAGAAGAAGCACCGGCUAACUCCGUGCCAGCCGCCGCGGUAAUUC
rnacentral:rRNA from 1 species